rnacentral:miRNA from 1 species
AAAUGAAUCAUGCAUUGACUACAUG